GGGAGCGACUUGGCUUCGACAGGAGUAAGUCUGCUUAGAUGGCAUGUCGCUUUGGGCAAAGCGUAAAAAGCCCAAAUAAAAUUAAACGCAAAUAACGUUAAAUUCGCUCCUGCUUACGCUAAAGCUGCGUAAGUUCAGUUGAGCCUGAAAUUUAAGUCAUACUAUCUAGCUUAAUUUUCGGUCAUUUUUGAUAGUGUAGCCUUGCGUUUGACAAGCGUUGAGGUGAAAUAAGGUCUUAGCCUUGCUUUUGAGUUUUGGAAGAUGAGCGAAGUAGGGUGAAGUAGUCA
rnacentral:tmRNA from 1 species